UGGCUUUGUAAAUUGUAUCGGUCACCGUAAGUGACCCGUAGAGAAUUUCCCCAUAACAAUAAAUUACAUAACGUGGUUAAUUUUUUCUGUUCGGUCCAAUUUUUCGAGAGAGAAAAGAAAGGGAGAGAAUUCAAAAAAAUGGCGGGAACAGUAGCUGUGAGAACAACAAACUCUUCAACACUGAACGCCGAGUGGGAGAUUUUCUUCGCACGCUUCAUCCCUUUCCCUCAUUUCACCACUCCUUCAUCUUCCUCCUCCGAUCUUCACCCUCUCCCUCACCGCCUCCGUAACCGUCCUCCUCGCGGCACCUGGAUCGCCUCCUCCACUUCCGCUUUCCUCAGAUUCUCCCCCGAUCUGUCUUUAUCCGAUGUCAUCCUCACCGUCUCCUUCAACGGCAAACUCUUCGAAGAGCACUACGUUUCGAAGCUGAAUUUUUCAUGGCCUCAAGUAUCGUGUGAUCCUGGAUUUCCUGCAAGGGGAAUUAAAACCGUGCUGGUUAAUUACAGAGAUUCCCGAGGCGAGAUUCAAAAGUUUGCUAUACGGUUUCCAUCAAUCUAUGAAGUACAAUCAUUCAUCACUGCUUUGAAGGUGAUCCUAAAAGAUGACAAGGGCCCUCAACCUUUAAAUAUUGACUUUGGUUCGGAAAUUUCGUCUCAGUCAGAAUUUAUGUCAACAAACAAACACUCUUACAGAGCUUCUGAGGAACUGAGUUUUGUGACUCCGGCUGACACUUUCAUUCCACAACUGCCAAUAUGUAUGAAUAAUGAAAGAGAGCAACCUUCAGUAAUCCAAACAAAGGAAACAGCUUCCGGUCACAACUUUGAAAGCAUCCUUCCAGCCUUGCCACCCAGUUUUGCCACAUUCUUGAUGGAUUGCUCUGGGGUCAACCAUACUCAAUCAACUACUACCAAGGAGAAUGAUCUCAAGUCCCAAAUUGCGGUACAUAUUUUGGAUUUCUCAUUUUGGUUAGAUGUUACUACCUGAUGCUUAAAUCACUUUAAUCACAUUGAUCUGGUGCUCAUUAUGAGAUAUAUGGAAGAUUCUUCCUUCCAAGAUAUGUUGAUAAAGGUGGAGAAAGUCAUCGGCGAAAUUGGGGGUGAUAUGUCACUCUAGGAGUCCAGGGCAUUGAAAAUGACACACCAAUCAGCUAGGCAUCUCUUCGUGCUUACUGAACCAUGGUGACCAUAAAUUUUGAGUGGCUUUAUAUUGAUUCUUCCAUUCUCUCUUAAUAACACACUGUUCAAUCCAUGGCAAAACUUCGUUUUUGCUUCUUUUAUUGUUCCAGCACAUUACAAUGCCAAGUGAAAAAAGGGUUACCUGAAUAUGGUAUAUCAGUGUCUAGCUAAUAAUGACAGAUCAAAUGUUUCUGCUUACAAAAUCUUUUUGUUAAUACAAAGAUAUCAGAAUUUUUUCAAUUCAAUCCGGUAGAAAUUUUCUAGCAUUUAUUCCUCACCCAAUUACUAACAAAAAAAUCAAGAAGCCACUAUAAUGAUCUAGAUCGAAGAUGUAGUCAAAGAAUCAAUGCAAGAGAAGAAGAAAGAGAAGUCAUCUAACAUUGACAUUGUUGAAUUCACCCCACUUCGACGAAUUCAACCAUGCAACAAGAGGAUGAAGAUGGAGUCCUAUGAAUAUAUUUCAAGGUCCAUUUCAAAUGGGAAGAAGACCCAAGAAAGAAUCUGAGUCUCGCCUAAAAGAAAUUAGUAGUGUACCUUUUGAGAAAAGAUGAAUCUUUCUAAAUGGUCAAUUGUUGAUAUGCCAAACAUCAAUCUUGAUGUCACCCGCAAAUUAUCUAAUAAAAGGCAUAUAUCAUAAAAAAAAAAAAGUCUUCAUAACCUUGUUAAAUAAGGAUUUGUUUUCAAAGUAAACUACAAUUCUA